GACGAACGCUGGCGGCGUGCCUAAUACAUGCAAGUCGAGCGGUAAGGCCCCUUCGGGGGUACACGAGCGGCGGACGGCUGAGUAACACGUAGGAACGUACCCCAAACUGAGGGAUAACUGCUCGAAAGAGUAGCUAAUACCGCAUGUGCUCUAAGGAGUAAAGCUACGGCGGUUUGGGAACGGCCUGCGUCCGAUUAGCUAGUUGGUGAGGUAAUUGCUCACCAAGGCGACGAUCGGUAGCUGGUCUGAGAGGAUGAUCAGCCAGACUGGGACUGAGACACGGCCCAGACUCCUACGGGAGGCAGCAGUAGGGAAUUUUCCACAAUGGGGGCAACCCUGAUGGAGCAACGCCGCGUGCAGGAUGAAUGCUUUCGAGCUGUAAACUGCUUUUAUCUGUGACGAAUAUGACGGUAGCAGAUGAAUAAGGAUCGGCUAACUCCGUGCCAGCCGCCGCAGUAA
rnacentral:rRNA from 1 species